rnacentral:rRNA from 1 species
ACGGGUGAGUAACGCGUAGACAACCUACCUUCUAGAUGGGGACAACACCGCGAAAGUGGUGCUAAUACCGAAUGUUGUACGAGAGGGGCAUUCCUUUCGUACUAAAGAUGGCCUCUAUUUAUAAGCUAUCGCUAGAAGACGGGUCUGCGUCUGAUUAGCUAGUAGGCGGGGUAAAAGCCCACCUAGGCGACGAUCAGUAGCCGGUCUGAGAGGAUGAACGGCCACACUGGGACUGAGACACGGCCCAGACUCCUACGGGAGGCAGCAGUGGGGAAUCUUCCGCAAUGGACGAAAGUCUGACGGAGCAACGCCGCGUGAGUGAUGAAGGCCUUCGGGUUGUAAAGCUCUGUUAUCAGGGAAGAACACUUUACUUGUGAAUAAUGAGUAGAGUUGACGGUACCUGAGGAGGAAGCCACGGCUAACUACGUGCCAGCAGCCGCGGUAAUACGUAGGUGGCGAGCGUUGUCCGGAAUUAUUGGGCGUAAAGCGCGCGUAGGCGGGAAAGUAAGUCUACUCUAAAAGUGCGGGGCUCAACCCCGUGAUGGGGUGGAAACUGCUUUUCUUGAGUGCCGGAGAGGAAAGCGGAAUU